rnacentral:rRNA from 1 species
CGCGUAGGCGGUCUAUUAAGUCUGAUGUGAAAGGUACCGGCUCAACCGGUGAAGUGCAUUGGAAACUGGUAGACUUGAGUAUUGGAGAGGCAAGUGGAAUUCCUAGUGUAGCGAUGAAAUGCGUAGAUAUUAGGAGGAACACCAGUGGCGAAGGCGGCUUGCUGGACAAAUACUGACGCUGAGGUGCGAAAGCGUGGGGAGCGAACA